UACAGAGGUCUCAAGCGUUGUUCGGAUUCAUUGGGCGUAAAGGGUGCGUAGGUGGCGCUGCAAGUCGGGUGUGAAAUUUCGAGGCUUAACCUCGAAACUGCAUUCGAUACUGCGGUGCUUGAGGACUGGAGAGGAGACUGGAAUUCAUGGUGUAGCAGUGAAAUGCGUAGAGAUCAUGAGGAAGACCAGUGGCGAAGGCGGGUCUCUGGACAGUUCCUGACACUGAGGCACGAAGGCCAGGGGAGCAAACGGG
rnacentral:rRNA from 1 species